rnacentral:rRNA from 1 species
AUACGGAGGAUGCAAGCGUUAUCCGGAUUUAUUGGGUUUAAAGGGUGCGUAGGCGGUUUGCUAAGCGGGAGGUGAAAUGCCGGCGCUCAACGUCGGAAGUGCCUCCCGAACUAGUGGACUUGAAUGACUCUGCCGUGGGAGGAAUGUGUAGUGUAGCGGUGAAAUGCUUAGAGAUUACACAGAACACCGCUUGCGAAGGCAUCUCACGAAGGGUUGAUUGACGCUGAGGCACGAAAGCGUGGGGAUCAAACAGGAUUAGAUACCCUGGUAGUCCACGCAGUAAACGAUGAUGGCUAACCGCUGGGCUUAUCAGUUCAGUGGCCAAGCGAAAGCGAUAAGCCAUCCACCUGGGGAGUACGACCGCAAGGUUGAAACUCAAAUGAAUUGACGGGG